GACUGAAGUGGAACAGGUGUUUUUUUUCUUGGUAAUUCAUUAUUAGUGUUUUAAAGGCUGUAGGAGGCAGGGCUUGUUUUGGUUUUCUCUUUUUUAAGUUGGGGAAUAUUAGAGCAUGGAAAACAAUAGGUUUCCCAUUCCAUGAGCAAGCUGUUUGGGACUCUCAGGGCGUUGCUUUUAGCUCAUUAGAUUGAAUCCUGCUGGAGUGAUAGAUGCUGCAGCCACCAUUCAGUGCUGGCAAUCUGGUGUGUCUCCAUGCUUAAUUAGUCAGUGAAAUUAGUCAGCUUGAAAGGCAGCACUUGCCUUGACAGAGGCAUUGAGAGAGAUUGGAUGUAGCGUGUUGGGUUUUCAUGUGGUGAAUGUUUGGGUCCCGGGGGCUGACAGUCAGCUGGGGCACGAAGCAAAGGGGACAGAAGAAGGAGCAUGGCUGAGAGGUGCGGGAAGUGCCUUGCAGAAAAGAGCAAACAGGGUCUGGGUCUGUUGGCACGAGCUUACAAACCACAGGGCACCAUUUCAAGAGCUUAUAGGAGCUGGGCAAACUGAACUCUGGCCUGCUUGCUGAGCAGCUGCCUGCCUGCCUGCCCUCAGAAGCGAUGAGGUAUCACUAUGGGUAUGUAGGGAGAUGACUUUUAAAUACGCCCAGCAGACUUUUUGGGCCUUUGCUGGUGGUAGGCUGCAUGGGAAACACAUGUAAAUUGUGCCCCAGAGUAAGCCACAACUCACACCCACCCGCUCCUUGGCUCUUCUUCAGGAAAGACGGAUCUGUCCCGUUCUCUGCGAGCUGAGUAUCAGUUCUGGUGACAAGAAGCUAUGUAAGUUUGCUCUCAUGGCAGAUGAGGCAAAGAGCAUUCAGGCUGCAUCGGAAAGAGCAUGCCCAAGCAGAUCAGGGAGGCUGCUAUCUCCAUCUACUGAAAAGAGUGAAUUUUCCCCUUGCUCUGGUGCUGAAGGCAUUUAGCUUUGUUCCUGUUUACCACUUGAGGGAUGAGUGGUUACUGGUAUUCACUCGUGCUCCUUGGCUUUGGGAUUGCUCACUACUGCCAUAACACGAGACCGGUGUUUUGAGCCACUGAGGGCCAGGGUCUGAUCUCCUUGUUC
rnacentral:lncRNA from 1 species